rnacentral:lncRNA from 1 species
AAAAAUCAUAGCAGAUAAUAACUCUUGAAUAAUAAUUAGUGCCAUAACUUAUGUUGCUUGUUGCCAAAGCAACUUUCUCUCCUUGAAUGAUUACUUUCCAAAAAUAGUUCCUAUUCAUUUGAAUUUGGAGUUAACGUCUCUUUCUGUAUUAGGAAGUCCAUUUCCAUAACUUUACUUGAAGUUAACGUUACUCUUCCUUAUUUAGCAAUUCCAUAAUCAAGGUCUUCGUGUUUCUGGAGAUCUUGGAAUCUUGCUAUCUAACUUCUGAUGU